UGUUCGACCAAAUGGUCCUCAUGUUUCUCCAUAUAAUAAUAAGUCACUCAUACCUAACACCUUGAGGAAUGUUCGACCAAAUGGUCCUCAUGUUUCUCCAUAUAAUAAUAAGUCACUCAUACCUAACACCUUGAGGAAUGUUCGACCAAAUGGUCCUCAUGUUUCUCCAUAUAAUAAUAAGUCACUCAUACCUAACACCUUGAGGAAUGUUCGACCAAAUGGUCCUCAUGUUUCUCCAUAUAAUAAUAAGUUACCUACACCUAACGCCAGGCAACCAUAGCAUUGAUUUGAGGAUUGAUUCUCAUCUAUUUAUUUGGAAGUUGCGAUGAUGAUUGGUUCUUUUGGCAAGACUAAUAGUGGAAACUGCAAUAUUAAAAGACAAUCUUUGAGGCGCUCUAGUUUGAUAUGUAACUUUAUAGGAACAUUGAACAUUGAAUGUGAAACAUUAAAACAUUAAUUUUUCUCUCUGGCAUUUUCAUGCCUCUUUUCUGCUCUUUUUACUUUCCAUAGAUUUGAGUUAUAAUUUGGUGUUUUUGCAUGGAUAUAAAUAGAAUCUUCUCAGGUUUACAUUGCGGUGAAAGCGAAUGCCGCUACAGGAGGCGUUUCCCUUUCUGAAUCUACAGUUUUUUUUUCGAAACUGGAAAGCUUUACAAGGUUCAUGCAAAAUGAAGAAAGGAAUUCACUCUCAGAUGCAGUGGAUAUCGUGCGUGACACAGAGUGGCAGAUUGAUGCACAUUAUGCUGACCUAAAUUCACCGUCUCGGUAAAAUCUACAACUUCAGUGCACGACGACAAAUGGCUGAAAGUCUAGGACAGAUUGCCAAGUUUAAGCGCCGUUAUGGACAAGAAGAUGCUGAAGACACUACAAAGUACAAAAUGACCUGCUUUAACAACAAGGCGGAGCUCAGUAUUAGCUCAGUGUUGGUUCUCAUGUUUUGACAUGGAAAAGUCACAGAGCCCAAACCAGUUAGUUUUGCCGUGAAUUUUUGAUCAGUGACUCAAGAGAGAGAGAGAGAGAGAGAGAGAUCUUAGUUAGGUGUGCCACAGUGGCAAGUUUACUGAUCUGGAAAAUUUGUUAAGACCUCAACUGAUGAUGUAUCUUUUCUCAUCCAUUGUUUCUAUUUUUUUCAAAUCAUAAAUCGAACCCCAAAUGGCCACAGCUGCUGCUGCUUCAUCUCUCCCUCAAAUCCUAAAACCCUUCAUCAAGAAGUCUUGGGAGGUCACUGUCUCAUGCGUUGAUCCAUCCUUCCCAAACUUCUUGAAUACCAUUUUAGAGAUGGCCAAUAUGGAGAAGAUGAUGAAGCAGACAACUUUUCGAUGUCGUCGUUUACCUAGCACUCUAUGGAAACCAUUACCAUCUUAGAUCCACAUCCAUGCAGACUUAGGAUACACUACUUGACCACGAUGGCAAGAGAUAUAGAAAAGAUGGUGAAGGUGCAGUUAAUAUGAGGAACAACUAACGCCUGUGGUGCACUUUCUAUGGCAUAUGAUUCCUCCUCUUUAAUAAGCCCACAAAAGCUUCACCAAAAACCGAUUUCUUCACUUGAAAACUUGCUCAGCCUUCUAUUAUUUUGACAAUACUCUAUCCCUUUCUUACUCAAUCUUUUAGCUUUUGCAAUUUUCUGAACUCUCUUGAGCAAUACGUUGAUAACUCAAGUUACAAACAAGACAGCUUGUGCUACUGCAACUGUUUUUCAAAUACUUUUUAUUGUAAUUGGUGUUUGGCUUUGUAUUACGUGAUUGUAUGCAACUGUUUAUUUUUCUCCUUAAUUUAACUAUCCCGUUAUAAUUGUUUGCCUCUCAUUGAAAUGAGAUCUUGGCUUAGAGUUCUGAUUU